AUGGACGAGCUAAAGGCUAUGUGUCUGGCGAACUCAAGAUCUGGAUCUAUUUCUUGCGCUCUUUUUCUGGGUGCACUUCAAGGAUGUGCGAUGGUUGGUACAAGAUGUCACUCAUUCAUUUAUGUCGGCAUCCAACUGCGUGAUGGUGUGCCUAGGCACGAUCUCAAUCAAGAAAAGUUGGCACGGAUCUGGGACGCCCGCGUUCCUCCCAGAUCCAGCACCGCCGCGCCAUUUUCUCCCGGAUCUCGCGUUCAACCAGUUCAACGCCAUUGCCAGAUGGACCUCAAGGAUAAAAAGGCUGUGAUAAGAAAUUGA
rnacentral:rRNA from 1 species